rnacentral:rRNA from 1 species
GUUUGAUCCUGGCUCAGAAUGAACGCUAUCUAUUUGCUUAACACAUGCUAGUUGAACGCGUCUAACGACGAGUGGCGAACGGGUGAGUAAUACAAAGGAAUUUACCCCAUAGUUUGGUUAAAUGCCUUAUAUAGAAAGAUUUUUUGCUAUGGGAUGAGCCUUUGUAGGAUUAGGUAGUUGGUAAGAUAAUAGCUUACCAAGCCGAUGAUCCUUAAUUGGUC